rnacentral:rRNA from 1 species
UACGUAGGGUGCAAGCGUUGUCCGGAAUUAUUGGGCGUAAAGAGCUCGUAGGCGGCUCGAUAAGUCUGCUGUGAAAGUUCAGGGCUCAACCCUGAAAUGCCGGUGGAAACUGUCGGGCUAGAGUCCGGAAGAGGCGAGUGGAAUUCCUGGUGUAGCGGUGAAAUGCGCAGAUAUCAGGAGGAACACCAAUGGCGAAGGCAGCUCGCUGGGACGGUACUGACGCUGAGACGCGAAAGCGUGGGGAGCAAACAGG